AGAGAGCUAGUCUAAGAAAGACCUCUGAUUUCGGCUCAGGAAAUUGUGGUUAAAAUCCACAGCCCUCUU
rnacentral:tRNA from 1 species